rfam:Peniophora sp. CONT PENSPscaffold_1_Cont1, whole genome shotgun sequence.
GCUGAUAUGGCCGAGUGGUUAAGGCGAGUGAUUUGAAUAUCUCAAUAUCACUUGUGCAUUGCACGCAGAGGUUCGAACCCUCUUGUCAGCG